GCGCUGACGAGUGGCGGACGGGUGAGUAACGCGUAGGAAUCUGCCUUAUAGUGGGGGACAACGUGGGGAAACCCACGCUAAUACCGCAUACGCCCUACGGGGGAAAGGAGGGGAUCUUCGGACCUCGCGCUAAUAGAUGAGCCUGCGUUAGAUUAGCUUGUUGGUGGGGUAAAGGCCUACCAAGGCGACAAUCAAUAGCUGAUUUGAGAGGAUGAUCAGCCACACUGGGACUGAGAUACGGCCCAGACUCC
rnacentral:rRNA from 1 species